rnacentral:tRNA from 1 species
GGUGGCUCAGUGGUAGAGUGCUUGCCUUGCAAGUGUGAGGCCCUGGGUUCGAUUCCUCAGCACCA